rnacentral:rRNA from 1 species
CCUACGGGUGGCUGCAGUAAGGAAUAUUGGUCAAUGGAGGAAACUCUGAACCAGCCAUCCCGCGUGAAGGAUGAAGGGGCUCUGCCUUGUAAACUUCUUUUGUCUGGGGCGAAAAAGCUCGAUUUAUCGAGAACUGACGGUACCAGAAGAAUAAGCACCGGCUAACUCCGUGCCAGCAGCCGCGGUAAUACGGCGGGUGCAGGCGUUAUGGGGAAUCACGGGUUUUAAGGGGGCUUAGUAAGGCAUAGGUGAAAGGCUGUGGCUUAACCAUGGAAUUGCCAUUGAUACUGCAGAGCUUGAAUGAGGUUGAGGUUGGCGGAAUGUGACAUGUAGCGGUGAAAUGCUUAGAGAUGUCAUGGAACACCGAUGGCGAAGGCAGCUGACUGGACCUAUAUUGACGCUGAGGCACGAAAGCGUGGGGAGCGAACAGGAUUAGAUACCCUUGUAGUC